rnacentral:hammerhead_ribozyme from 1 species
UUCCAGCUGAUGAGUCCAGAAUAAGACGAAACCCUCGUCCUAGAU